GACAGAGGGUGCAAACGUUGCUCGGAAUCACUAGGCGUAAAGGGCGUGUAGGCGGGAAGGAAAGUCAGAUGUGAAAUCCCCAGGCUCAACCUGGGAACUGCAUUUGAAACUCCCUUUCUUGAGUACCGGAGAGGAAAGUGGAAUUCCUGGUGUAGAGGUGAAAUUCGUAGAUAUCAGGAGGAACACCAGUGGCGAAGGCGGCUCACUGGACCGGAACUGACGCUGAGGCGACGAAAGCGUGGGGAGCAAACAGG
rnacentral:rRNA from 1 species